CGGGUGAGUAAUACUUAGGAAUCUGCCCAAUAGUGGGGGACAACAUUCGGAAACGGAUGCUAAUACCGCAUACGCACUAUGGUGGAAAGUGGGAGACCUUCGGGCCUCACGCUAUUAGACAGGCCUAUAUUGGAUUAGCUAGUUGGUAAGGUAAAGGCUUACCAAGGCGACGAUCCAUAGCUGGUUUGAGAGAAUGAUCAGCCACACUGGGACUGAGACACGGCCCAG
rnacentral:rRNA from 1 species